rnacentral:rRNA from 1 species
CCUACGGGAGGCAGCAGUGGGGAAUAUUGCACAAUGGGGGAAACCCUGAUGCAGCGACGCCGCGUGAAGGAUGAAGUAUUUCGGUAUGUAAACUUCUAUCAGCCGGGAAGAAAAUUACGGUACCUGAGUAAGAAGCCCCGGCGAACUACGGGCAAGAAGCCGCAGUAAUACGUGGGGGGCAAGCGUUAUACGGAUUUACUGGGUGUAAAGGGAGCGUAGACGGCAUGGCAAGUCUGAUGUGAAAACCCGGGGCUCAACCCCGGGACUGCAGUGGAAACUGGCAGGCUAGAGUGUCGGAGAGGCAAGUGGAAUGCGUAGUGUAGCGGUGAAAUGCGUAGAUAUUAGGAGGAACACCAGUGGCGAAGGCGGCUUGCUGGACGAUGACUGACGUUGAGGCUCGAAAGCGUGGGGAGCAAACAGGAUUAGAUACCCGAGUAGUC